rnacentral:lncRNA from 1 species
ACCCUUAUCUCCCUUCACUGACUCUUUUCGGACUCAGCCCACCUGCACGCAGGUGAUUAAAAGCUUUAUUGCUCACACAAAGCCUGUUUGGUGGUCUCUUCACACGGACGCGCAUAAAAUUUGGUGCCGUGACUCGGAUCGGGGGACCUCCCUUGGGAGAUCAAUCCCCUGUCCUCCUGCUCUUUGCUCCGUGAGAAAGAUCCACCUACGACCUCAGGUCCUCGGACCGAUCAGCUCAAGAAACAUCUCACCAAUUUCAAAUCCGAAGGCAGGAAUGUCAGGCCUCUGAGUCCAAGCCAAGCCGUCGCAUCCCCUGUGACCUGCACGUAUACGCCCAGAUGGCCUGAAGUAACUAAAGAAUCACAAAAGAAGUGAAUAUGCCCUGCCCCACCUUAACUGAUGACAUUCCACCACAAAAGAAGUGUAAAUGGCCGGUCCUUGCCUUAACUGAUGACAUUACCUUGUGAAAGUCCUUUUCCUGGCUCAUCCUGGCUCAAAAAGCUCCCCCACUGAGCACCUUGCGACCCCCACUCCUGCCCACCAGAGAACAAACCCCCUUUGACUGUAAUUUUCCUUUACCUACCCAAAUCCUAUAAAACGGCCCCACCCUUAUCUCCCUUUGCUGACUCUUUUCGGACUCAGCCCGCCUGCACCAGGUGAUUAAAAGCUUUAUUGCUCACACAAA